rnacentral:rRNA from 2 species
UACGUAGGUGGCAAGCGUUGUCCGGAAUUACUGGGCGUAAAGAAUGCGUAGGUGGAUAUUUAAGUCAGAUGUGAAAUACCCGGGCUCAACCUGGGCACUGCAUUUGAAACUGGAUAUCUAGAGUGCGGGAGAGGUAAGUGGAAUUCCUAGUGUAGCGGUGAAAUGCGUAGAGAUUAGGAAGAACACCAGUGGCGAAGGCGACUUACUGGACCGUAACUGACACUGAGGCAUGAAAGCGUGGGGAGCAAACAGG